AUUGAACGCUGGCGGCAGGCCUAACACAUGCAAGUCGAGCGGAUGAAGGGAGCUUGCUCCUGGAUUCAGCGGCGGACGGGUGAGUAAUGCCUAGGAAUCUGCCUGGUAGUGGGGGAUAACGUCCGGAAACGGGCGCUAAUACCGCAUACGUCCUGAGGGAGAAAGUGGGGGAUCUUCGGACCUCACGCUAUCAGAUGAGCCUAGGUCGGAUUAGCUAGUUGGUGGGGUAAAGGCCUACCAAGGCGACGAUCCGUAACUGGUCUGAGAGGAUGAUCAGUCAACCUGGAACUGGGACACGGUCCAGACCCCUACGGGAGGCAGCGGUGGGGAAUAUUGGACAAUGGGCGAAAGCCUGACCCAGCCAUGCCGGGUGUGUGAAGAAGGUUUUCGGAUUGUAAAGCCCUUUAAGUUGGGAGGAAGGGCAGUAAGUUAAUACCUUGCUGUUUUGACGUUACCAACAAAAUAAGCCCCGGCUAACUUCGU
rnacentral:rRNA from 1 species